UUAACGCUGGCAGAGUGCAUAACACAUGCAAGUCGAGCGGGGCUGUUUGAGAUUACAUCAAGAGCAGUCUAGCGGCAGACGAGUGAGUAACUCGUGGACAAUCUGCCCUUCAAUGGCGAAUAACCAGCCGAAAGGUUGGCUAAUGCGCCGUACAUUCCCCUGAGGGCAUCUUCGGGGGAAGAUAGACCCGCAAGGGUCGUUGAAGGAGGAGUCCGCGGCCCAUCAGCUAGUUGGCGGUGUAAUAGACCACCAAGGCUACGACGGGUACCCGGCCUGAAAGGGCGGACGGGCACGAUGGCACUGAGACACGGGCCAUACUCCUACGGGAGGCAGCAGUGGGGAAUUUUGGACAAUGGGCGAAAGCCUGAUCCAGCAACUCUGCGUGAGGGACGAAGGUCUUCGGAUCGUAAACCUCUUUUGCUAGGGGCGAACACCCGCAAGGGUUUGACGGUACCUAGCGAAUAAGCCACGGCUAACUAUGU
rnacentral:rRNA from 1 species